rnacentral:misc_RNA from 1 species
CACCAGGCAGAAAUCCCCUGUAAACAGGCCCAAAUUUCCCUUCAGCCAAAAGGGUGCCUCUGUCAAAACCUGAAGUUGCAGAUAAGAGGUCUGCAAAAGUGAUAUUCAGCAAUGGCUUCUCAAAAAUCACUACAGGGACUGAUGUUGCCUGCUUAACAUCAGCAACCCAUGUGGUUGAAUCAGUAUGGAAUGAAAAUGGACCUGAAAUAUUUU